rnacentral:rRNA from 1 species
ACGUUGUAGGUACCCGUACCGCAAACGGACACACGUAGUCGGGUUGAAUAUACUAAGGCGCUUGGGUGAGUCACGGUUAAGGAACUAGGCAAAUUGACCCUGUAACUUCGGAAUAAAGGGUCCCUCCUCGCAAGAGAGGGCGCAGAGAAUAGGUCCAGGCAACUGUUUAACAAAAACACAGGGCUGUGCUAAUAUGAAAGUAGAUGUAUACAGCCUGACACCUGCCCGGUGCUGGAAGGUUAAGAGGAGAUGUCAUCGAUGAGAGAAGCAUUGAAUUGAAGCCCCAGUAAACGGCGGCCGUAACUAUAACGGUCCUAAGGUAGCGAAAUUCCUUGUCGGGUAAGUUCCGACCUGCACGAAUGGUGUAAUGAUCCGGACACUGUCUCAACCGUGAGCCCAGUGAAAUUGUAGUAUCGGUGAAGAUGCCGAUUACCCGCGAUGGGACGAAAAGACCCCGUGAACCUUUACUAUAGCUUAGCAUUGAAUUUGGGCACGCGAUGUGUAGGAUAGGUCGGAGGC